CCCGCCCUCGGGACGCGUCCUUGAGACCUCAGCCAAUGAGCAAGCGAAGAAAAGGGCGGAGGGGCGGGCGCUUCUAAGCUGAAGCCGCGAUUGGGGCGUGGAGAGCAAGGCGGGGGAGGGCGGAGGGAUGGGAACGGAGGAGAAGAAGGGCACCGCGGCGGGAGGGAAGAAACAGAGCGAGCUACGCUGCGGGAGCGCAGUUACCAACCGGCCGCGGUCACGUGCAUGGGAGGAAGAGCUGAGACCUCAGGGGAGGGGCGCGCGGUAGCGCCUCGAGUCCCCUAGUGGGGCUCCUGGGAACGAGUCCCCAGCCACCGACAGAUCACGACCCCGCUGCUCCCACUUUAUUUUCAGCCGAGUCUUCCGCCUCUCCGUUCCUCACUACUUACGAAAUCUCCCAUGGAAUGGUUCUGUGGCAACAAACGAGACGGAGUUACACUAUGUUGGCCAGGCUGAUCUCGAACUUCGGACCUCGUGAUCCACCUACUUCGGCCUCCCAAAGUGCUGGGAUUACUGGCAUGAGCCAGCGCACCCAGCAAUCAGUUUUCCUACUGGUGAUAUAAUGAUGAUAUAUUAAACUAUAAAGCCUAUUAUAAUGUUUAACGAUGACUCCAGGAAAGCUUUGUGAUAUAUAACAAACCAACAUUAAUACCCUCUAGUUUGGAUAAUACUCUGCCAACUCUGCUAUGAAGCUCAACGAAAGGAAUUUAUUGUUGCCUCUCUCUAUAGCGAUUAGGAGGAUGAACUCAGAAGCAAGUAGAGAUGGAUUCUGUUCUGCCUCCUCCUCACUGUGUCAUGUUAGUUACUAAUCUUUAGGAACUUCGAGUUCCUUUUCUGUGAGAAGAUAUAUCAUGGUUGAAAGAUUAAGGGAAAAGAUAUGCAGUGUAGAUGGUAGCAUGUGUUUGGCAUGUAUAAGCCCUCAGUAAAUAACUGCUAGUAUUUUCUACAUUGGAUGCUGGAGAGGGAUGAAAUAAACUAUCUUUUAUUCCUGAAUCUUUUUUGCUG
rnacentral:lncRNA from 13 species